UACGUAGGGGGCUAGCGUUGUCCGGAAUCAUUGGGCGUAAAGCGCGCGUAGGCGGCCCGGUAAGUCCGUUGUAAAAGUCGAAGGCUCAACCGUCGAAAGCCGAGGGAUACUGCCGGGCUAGAGUCCGGAAGAGGCGAGUAGAAUUCCUGGUGUAGCGGUGGAAUGCGCAGAUAUCAGGAGGAAUACCCAUAGCGAAGGCAGCUCGCUGGGACGGUACUGACGCUGAGGCGCGAAAGCGUGGGGAGCGAACAGG
rnacentral:rRNA from 1 species